UUGUAACUAAAUUUGGAUCAAAUAACGUGCAACUAGUUUAGUAAUGGAGUAAGGUUGUUCAAUGGGCUUUCGAAUCAAUUUACAUUCACCUGCAGUUGGUGGCCUAAUCUCUGCAUUUUUCCUUAGGUUGGAGAUGUGCGUCCGAAGGUGCCGGAGCGGGAUUUUACUGGCACUGCUUAUGUUCCUGUUUAUGUGAUGCUGCCGCUAAGUGUCAUUGACAUGAAUUGUGAGUUGGUUGAUCCUGAAGAUCUACUGAACCAGCUGAGGAUCUUGAAAUCAGCAAAUGUUGAUGGUGUUAUGAUUGAUUGUUGGUGGGGGGUAGUGGAGGCUCAUGCUCCGCAGGUGUAUAAAUGGAGUGGUUACAGGAGGCUCUUUCAGAUGGUGCGUGAUCUUAAGCUUAAGUUGCAGGUGAGUAUAUAUAUAUAUAUAUAUGUAUAUGUAUAUAUUCUGUGUUGCUAUGAUUGGUCUGUCAUAAGCUAUGAAUCAAGAUCACAGAUUCUGAUGGUAAAAAAUGAAUUAUUUGGGAAAGAACCUAAAGCCUGUAUGGCGACUCACAUCUUAAACUCCAAUCUGUUAUGUUUCACCUCUC